AUUGAACGCUGGCGGCAGGCCUAACACAUGCAAGUCGAACGGUAACAGGAAACAGCUUGCUGUUUCGCUGACGAGUGGCGGACGGGUGAGUAAUGUCUGGGAAACUGUCUGAUGGAGGGGGAUAACUACUGGAAACGGUAGCUAAUACCGCAUAACGUCGCAAGACCAAAGAGGGGGACCUUCGGGCCUCUUGCCAUCGGAUGUGCCCAGAUGGGAUUAGCUAGUAGGUGGGGUAACGGCUCACCUAGGCGACGAUCCCUAGCUGGUCUGAGAGGAUGACCAGACACACUGGAACGGAGACACGGUCCAGACUCCUACGGGAGGCAGCAGUGGGGAAUAUUGCACAAUGGGCGCAAGCCUGAUGCAGCCAUGUCGCGUGUAUGAAGAAGGCCUUCGGGUUGUAAAGUACUUUCAGCGGGGAGGAAGGGAGUAAAGUUAAUACCUUUGCUCAUUGACGUUACCCGCAGAAGAAGCACCGGCUAACUCCGUGCCAGCAGCCGCCGUAA
rnacentral:rRNA from 1 species